ACCAGACUCCUACGGGAGGCAGCAGUAGGGAAUCUUUCACAAUGGGCGAAAGCCUGAUGGAGCAACGCCGCGUGCAGGAUGAAGGCCUUCGGGUUGUAAACUGCUUUUAUAAGCGAGAAAUAUGAUGGUAACUUAUGAAUAAGGAUCGGCUAACUACGUGCCAGCAGCCGCGGUAAUGCGUAGGGAGCAAGCGUUAUCCGGAUUUAUUGGGUGUAAAGGGUGCGUAGACGGAGAAGCAAGUUAGUUGUGAAAUCCCUCGGCUUAACUGAGGAACUGCAACUAAAACUACUUCCCUUGAGUACUGGAGAGGAAAGUGGAAUUCCUAGUGUAGCGGUGAAAUGCGUAGAUAUUAGGAGGAACACCAGUGGCGAAGGCGACUUUCUGGACAGUAACUGACGUUGAGGCACGAAAGUGUGGGGAGCAAACAGGAUUAGAUACCCCAGUA
rnacentral:rRNA from 1 species